rnacentral:tRNA from 1 species
CAAAGUGUAGCUUAAAUGAAAGCAUCUAGUUUACACCUAGAAGACAUCAAAACAAAGAUCGCUUUGA